rnacentral:rRNA from 1 species
UACAGAGGGUGCGAGCGUUAAUCGGAAUUACUGGGCGUAAAGCGCACGUAGUCGGCUUUGCAAGUCGGGUGUGAAAUCCCCGGGCUCAACCUGGGAACUGCAUCCGAGACUGCAUUGCUAGAGUAUGGGAGAGGGAAGCGGAAUUUCUGGUGUAGCAGUGAAAUGCGUAGAUAUCAGAAGGAACAUCAGUGGCGAAGGCGGCUUCCUGGACCGAUACUGACGAUCAGGUGCGAAAGCGUGGGGAGCAAACAGG